rnacentral:rRNA from 1 species
CGGAGGAUCCAAGCGUUAUCCGGAAUCAUUGGGUUAAAGGGUCCGUAGGCGGUUUAGUAAGUCAGUGGUGAAAGCCCAUCGCUCAACGGUGAACGGCCAUUGAUACUGCUAGACUUGAAUUAUUAGGAAGUAACUAGAAUAUGUAGUGUAGCGGUGAAAUGCUUAGAGAUUACAUGGAAUACCAAUUGCGAAGGCAGGUUACUACUAAUGGAUUGACGCUGAUGGACGAAAGCGUGGGUAGCGAACAGGAUUAGAUACCCUGGUAGUCCACGCCGUAAACGAUGGAUACUAGCUGUUGGGAGCGAUCUCAGUGGCUAAGCGAAAGUGAUAAGUAUCCCACCUGGGGAGUACGUUCGCAAGAAUG